rnacentral:tRNA from 1 species
AGGCUUAUGGUGUAAUGGAUAGCAUGCAAGGUUUCGACCCUUGUGGUAUGGGUUCAAAUCCUAUUAGGCCUA